rnacentral:rRNA from 1 species
GACGAACGCUGGCGGCGUGCCUAAUACAUGCAAGUAGAACGCACAGUUUAUACCGUAGCUUGCUACACCAUAGACUGUGAGUUGCGAACGGGUGAGUAACGCGUAGGUAACCUGCCUGGUAGCGGGGGAUAACUAUUGGAAACGAUAGCUAAUACCGCAUAAUAUUGAUUAUUGCAUGAUAAUUAAUUGAAAGGUGCAAUUGCACCACUACCAGAUGGCCCUGCGUUGUAUUAGCUAGUAGGGGAGGUAACGGCUCACCUAGGCGACGAUACAUAGCCGAACUGAGAGGGUGAUCGGCCACACUGGGAAUGAGAAACGGCCCAGACUCCUACGGGAGGGAGCAGUAGGGAAUCUUCGGCAAUGGACGAAAGUCUGAACGAGCAACGCCGCGUGAGUGAAGAAGGUUUUCGGAUCGUAAAGCUCUGUUGUAAGAGAAGAACGGGUGUGAGAGUGGAAAGUUCACACUGUGACGGUAUCUUACCAGAAAGGGACGGCUAACUACGUG